rnacentral:misc_RNA from 1 species
UCCGGCUUAACGCCGGCAGUCUCCCUAGAGUGCCCAACUGAAUGGUGGCAACUAAGGACAAGGGUUGCGCUCGUUGCGGGACUUAACCCAACAUCUCACGACACGAGCUGACGACAGCCAUGCGGCACCUGUGCACGGACUCCGAAGAGGGGCCGAUGUUUCCACCGGCUUUCCCGUGCAUGUCAAGCCCAGGUAAGGUUCUUCGCGUUGCUUCGAAUUAAACCACACGCUCCGCUGCUUGUGCGGGCCCCGUCAAUUCCUUUGAGUUUUAAUCUUGCGACCGUACUCCCCAGGCGGAGAACUUAUCGCGUUAGCUUCGAUACUAAUGGGCUCGCGCCCACCAACAUCUAGUUCUCAUCGUUUACAGCGUGGACUAC